UGGAGGAUAGGUCCGUCAGCCC
rnacentral:siRNA from 1 species